CUUUCAAAGCAAUCAUUCAAAUGUUUAUGAUUUAACAGUGCCCAAUGAACGGGAGUAAUUAUAUUUUUACGGUUAUUGGAAAGCGAGUUUUUAUUAUAAAUUGUUUGAUAUGAACUUUGAAUUUGAACAUAAUAUUAUCUUGGUUUAUCGGAAACAGCAGAGUUCAAUAGACAACAUUUUCAAGAUGCACCAACAACAAAACUAACCUGCUUAUUUAUUUUGUAUCGUUAGCAUCGUCUCAACUAAACAAGUUGGCAAAAAGUGUUCACAGUUUUAUCGUUGCGGUUUCAAUAUACGAUGGAUGCCACUGCACUAUUCGAAUGCUGCACUUUAUUCCUUAAGCGACUUUUGAUCCAGCUUGGUAGUUUCGAAAAUGGAUU